GGAGAGGUGGCAGAGUGGUUGAAUGCACAGCUCUCGAAAAGCUGCAUGGCUUCGGUCAUCGAGGGUUCGAAUCCCUCUCUCUCCA
rnacentral:tRNA from 1 species